CUUCUCCUCCUGUGUGUACUCAUGGGCUCCUGGACUUCCUGUCUCAAAGUCCCCAUCACAUGGAUUUUAAGUGCUUGCUAGUGAGGACAGGAAGAGGAAAAGGCAGGAUCUUUGCACAUAAUAAAUGUUCAGCAGAUGUUUCGAAGGAGUCAAUAAAGAUUGAUAUAAGAACUCACUGUUAUCCUUAAUAAUUCAUUGUAUGUAAGUGUGCAUAUGUUUAGCAAAAUAUCUCCAGCUCUCAUUAUAAAUUGUAGAUUUAAUUAUUCUUAAAUUUUUGAGUUGUUUUUCAAAGUCCCAAGUUGAAAACCUUCUAUGACAUACAUUGUUAUAUAAAGCCUGGGCUGAGUACAGGCUGAGUACUGGGCUGAGUACCUGAAUUUUAAAGCCAAGGUCACACUGCUGAGAGUGGGGAAAACCAGAAAAAUGGGCAGGCGGACUUGUUGGAUUUGCAAGCCUUGCAGAGAUGAAUCUCAGAGGCUCCCGUCAAACAUUACUUUGGAGGAAGUGUUACAGUGGGCCCAGUCUUUUGAAAAGUUGAUGGCUACGAAAUGUGAGUAUGAUGUAUAUGUUUGAAUAACCAGUUUCAUUCCUAAGAGAAAAAAGUGGCCCUAGGUGAUGAACGUAUGCAGCUCUUCUCACAGCCUUCAGAAUGGCAGCUGCCCCAGUCACAAAAAGAAAACCUGAAAAUAGUUUGUCGUGUCAACCACUAUUAUUUUCUUUGCUGUUAAUUAAAACAAGAUUAGUCACUGUGAAUAGUCUUCACAAGUGUAUGUGUAAAAUCCCUUGGAAAAUAUGUCUAAAUUGUAACACAUACUGAAAUAUACUGUCUUAUCAUAGCCUUCUAAAGUUAGAAUUUUAGAAAACUCAAAAAUUUGCUGCUCUUAGUGCCUUCAAAAGUAAGAAUAAAUUUUGAGUCUUGAUGUUCUAAAACUCCCCAGAGUUAGUUUUCAACUUUAUCAGUGUCUGAUUUCAGUGGGACUUUAUAUAAGUCUACAUAUAGUUGUAUAUAAGCAUCAACAUUCAGACGGUAUAAAUGAAAGCUAACAACAAUGGAUAUUAGGGACACAGAGUCAUAGGCUCAAUGCAAGAAAUGAGAAGCAUUUGUAUUCAUG